GCCUUCGUAGUGUAAUGGUCAGCACACUCGACACGUAUUCGAGAGGUCCGAGGUUCGAGUCCCGGCAAAGGCA
rnacentral:tRNA from 1 species